AUUGAACGCUGGCGGCAGGCCUAACACAUGCAAGUCGAACGAGUGGCGGACGGGUGAGUAAUGUCUGGGAAACUGCCUGAUGGAGGGGGAUAACUACUGGAAACGGUAGCUAAUACCGCAUACCAUCGGAUGUGCCCAGAUGCGAUUCGCUAGUAGGUGGGGUAACGGCUCACCUAGGCGACGAUCCCUUGCUGGUCUGAGAGGAUGACCGGCACCACGGGAACUGAGACACGGGCAAGACGCCUACGGGAGGCAGCAGUGGGGAAUAUGGGACAAUGGGCGCAAGCCUGAUGCAGCCAUGCCGCGUGUAUGAAGAAGGCCUUGGGGUUGUAAAGUACGUUCAGCGGGGAGGCGGUACCGGCAGAAGAAGCACCGGCUAACUCCGUGCCAGCAGCCGCGGUAAUUC
rnacentral:rRNA from 1 species